AUUGAACGCUGGCGGCAGGCUUAACACAUGCAAGUCGAGCGAGCGGCGGACGGGUGAGUAAUGUCUGGGAAACUGCCUGAUGGAGGGGGAUAACUACUGGAAACGGUAGCUAAUACCGCAUACCAUCAGAUGUGCCCAGAUGGGAUUAGCUAGUAGGUGGGGUAAUGGCUCACCUAGGCGACGAUCCCUAGCUGGUCUGAGAGGAUGACCAGCCAACCUGGAAAUGGGAAACGGGCCAGAACCCUACGGGGGGCAGCAGUGGGGAAUAUUGCAAAAUGGGGGCAAGCCUGAUGCAGCCAUGCCGGGGGUGUGAAGAAGGCCUUCGGGUUGUAAAGCACUUUCAGCGAGGAGGCGUUACUCGCAGAAGAAGCACCGGCUAACUCCGUGGCAGCAGCCGCGGUAAUUCC
rnacentral:rRNA from 1 species